rnacentral:tRNA from 1 species
GCCCCGAUAGCUCAAUGGACAGAGCGUCAGUUUCCGGAACUGGAGGUUAGCCGUUCGAAUCGGCUUCGGGGCGCCA